rnacentral:rRNA from 1 species
UACGAAGGGUGCUAGCGUUGUUCGGAAUCAUUGGGCGUAAAGCGUACGUAGGCGGUUUAGUAAGUCGAUUGUGAAAGCCCUAAGCUCAACUUAGGAACUGCAACCGAUACUGCUUUGCUUGAGUUUGGUGGGGGAUGGUGGAAUUCCUAGUGUAGGGGUGAAAUCCGUAGAUAUUAGGAGGAAUAUCGGUGGCGAAAGCGACCAUCUACGCCAAUACUGACGCUAAGGUACGAAAGCGUGGGGAGCAAACAGG